UGGCGCACGGGUGCGUAACGCGUAACCAACCUACCCACAACUGGGGGAUAGCCCGCCGAAAGGCGGAUUAAUAUCGCAUAAUAUAAGAGAGCGGCAUCGCUCUUUUAUAAAAGAUUUAUUGGUUGUGGAUGGGGUUGCGUAGCAUUAGCUAGAUGGCGGGGUAACGGCCCACCAUGGCGACGAUGCUUAGGGGACCUGAGAGGGUGAUCCCCCACACUGGCACUGAGAUACGGGCCAGACUCCUACGGGAGGCAGCAGUAGGGAAUAUUGGGCAAUGGGCGAGAGCCUGACCCAGCCAUGCCGCGUGCCGGAUGAAGGCCUUCUGGGUUGUAAACGGCUUUUCUCAGGGAAGAAAAAGGUCUUGCGAGACCAACUGACGGUACCUGAGGAAUAAGCACCGGCUAACUCCGUGCCAGCAGCCGCGGUAAUACGGAGGGUGCAAGCGUUGUCCGGAUUUAUUGGGUUUAAAGGGUGCGUAGGUGGCCCGUUAAGUCCGGGGUGAAAGCCCACAGCUCAACUGUGGAACUGCCCUGGAUAC
rnacentral:rRNA from 1 species